rnacentral:rRNA from 1 species
UACGUAGGGUGCAAGCGUUGUCCGGAAUUAUUGGGCGUAAAGAGCUCGUAGGCGGUCUGUUGCGUCGGCUGUGAAAACCCGGGGCUCAACUCCGGGCCUGCAGCCGAUACGGGCAGACUAGAGUUCGGCAGGGGAGACUGGAAUUCCUGGUGUAGCGGUGAAAUGCGCAGAUAUCAGGAGGAACACCGGUGGCGAAGGCGGCUUUCUGGACACUAACUGACGCUGAGACGCGAAAGCGUGGGGAGCAAACAGG